AUACAUCGACUAUUUAUAGAUCGACGAUAAUUUUCAAUGCAUGGAAGCACGAUGUUUUUCUGACAUUCCUAGUUCUAAAUUAAAUAAAUUUUCGUAAACCAUAUCAGAGCGAAUUCAUCUAAUGCAUUCAUUCUUUCAUGUGAAUUCUUAAGUAUAAGCCGGGCCAACUAAUUCUCCAUCCUGUGCAAACAGUUUAGGAGUACUGUAAUACGAAAAAGAAUGCUCUUGAGAUUUUACGGUUUGGCCAUAACAAAGAUACACCCACCAAUGCGAAUGUUUUGCGUAAAUGGUUCUACGAAAUUGCAUGUUCAGCAUAGCCUGGAUGAAAAUCAAUUUUUUGUGGAUGUUGGAUCCCUCCGCGCAUAUCUUGAUUAUCAAAAAGAAGGAAGGCGCAUGCGAAUUCUUCACACAGAAGUGCCUUCUGCUCUAGAAGGCCGCGGGUUGGGGAAGUUUUUGGCUAAGGAAGCUUUAGAAUAUGCCGCCAAGAAUGAUCUUAAUCUAAAGGUUGAUUGCGAAUUUGUACAGCACUACAUACAUAAAUACGAACCGAAAUAUAUCAAGCUAAUGAGCAAGUGAA